UCUGCCUCCCAAGUACUGGGAUCAAAGGCUUGUGCCACCAUGCCCGGCUUAUAUUUUCUAUUUUAAGUUUCACAUAGCAUAUAAAAAAGUUAUUUUUUUUUAAAGAUUUAUUUAUUUAUUAUAUGUAAGUACACUGUAGCUGUCUUCAGACACACCAGAAGAGGGCGUCAGAUCUCGUUACGGAUAGUUGUGAGCCACCAUGUGGUUGCUGGGACUUGAACACUGGACCUUUGGAAGAGCAGUCGGGUACUCUUACCCACUGAGCCAUCACACCAGCCCAAAAAAGUUAUUUUUUGAGACAGACUCGGGCUGUGAAGUGCAAGGUUGGUGUGGAACUCACCUUGUCCACAGGUUGGCCUCAAAUUUAUGACACUCCCUACCUGAGCUUCCCCAAAUCUGGGAAUACAGUGUGUUUACAAGUCCACAAUACUUGUUAAUUAAUUUAUUCUUUUGAAGUAGUUUCAUAAAUAGCCUAGGCUGAUGAAGCUCAGAUUGGCUUUGAAGUUCUCCCUCCGGCCUGAAGAGUGCUGGAACUAUCAACGUGUUUUGCUUAAUUUCAUCUUUUUAAAAAAAAAAAAUAUAUAUAUAUAUUUAUAUUUUAAAGCAUACAUCUUGUGUUUGGAAAAAAUUUUCUUUGCCAAUUAAUUCCAGUGGUAGCGUUUAUAUUCUCAUUUUCUUAGAGUUUUUUAAAAAAAUAUAGUUUGAAAAUGUUAUGAAAUACUCAUCACACAGAAAAUUCCCCUUGAGAUAUGAGCUCAGGUGACACUGCUUUAGCAGCUAAACACUAGGGACUUUAUGUCCCUCUUGUGGGUGAGGAAAUAGAGGCCGAGAUAGCUAAGUUUUUUCUCAAGGCCACUUAACCAGUACACAGUGGAACUAUUAUUUUUUUCUCUGUCUAGAGCCUUGGAUUUUACUAGUAAGCUCUUGGACUUCUCUGUAAUUGUUAACUUUUACUGAUCUGUAAUUUGAUGUUUGGGUGAAUAAUUUUUUCUUGGUAUUUCAUAUAUAAGGAAGGGGUCUUUAUUUUCUUUAAAUAAUUGGUAUAAGAACAAGGCCAUGGAGAAUAAGUUAGCCUGGAACAUUUCACAGAUAGCAGGGCCAUAGCACAGAUGUGGAGUAAUGGCUUUAUUUGGAUUUAAUCUUGAAAAAUGAAACAAAACUAUAAAAACUUUGAUAUGGUUGCAACUAUGUUAUAUUGCUAGGAUGCGAGAACAGUGAAUUGAGUGUUGGUUGCUUUAAUGUUUGAUGCAUAAUUUUUCUGACAAAAUUGCAGAGUAUCAACAAACCAUAGUUUUCGUGCUAUAGUGAGCCUUUCUAAUAUGAUAAACCCAUUUUUGCUAAAGUGUUGAAGACUUUAUUAGUUUUUUAAAGGACUUUCUUUGUUCAGAUUAUUUUCUUCUUUCUUCUUCGUAAUCAGAUUUUUGUUAGUUGUCUCCAGUUAGGAACUGAGCAUGUCAUGGAGCCCAGAGUGCUAAUAAAACAUUAAGAACAUUUUUUUUCUUUUGACACACUUGAAAGGCUAAGUUAGGAGGAUCUAAGUUCCAAGUUCUGUAGUGGGUUCCAAGCUUGCCCAAGGUACAUAGUGAGGCCUUAUCUAUUCAGAGGAAAACAAAACCCCAAACAAGCC
rnacentral:lncRNA from 1 species